CAUUAUUUUUAUGUCCAUUAGAAUCUGCUCCAUGUUGUACCUACGUAUUUAGUUAUGAAUGGCUGUCAACAAAAAAACUGACAACUGCUCAUAAAUCUUAGCUUGUAUCUAAAGUGUAAAGAAUGUAUAGAGUCAAAUAUGGCUCCAUCAUCAUUGAGAUGUAAAUAUUGCUGCAACAUUCAUGCAGCAGCUUUAAAUCCAUUCACUGGUGUCAGUACAUUUCUCAUCUCUAUCUGGUAGGAACCAUAAUCAUAUGUCAUUGUAAAAUCAUUGAUAUUUGGCAUUGAGCUAGGUAUGGUAAGUAUAUAUAUACUUGUAUAAUUGAUCUUUCAAACUUGAACUGUUUUUCUCUUCCAGGCAGCUUUGACUACAUAUAGCUAUACUUUCAGUCAGAUACGAUAAUAAGUUCUAUUUUUUCCAUUUGAUGUGGUUUGGUAGGCAAGUCUGUUUGGGAGAGGCACCAGCAUUGUGUCACUAUCCCACUUAUUGACCUUCUUCACAAAGUAUUUGUAUUUUUCACUACAAUUUUUCCUACAAUUAAGCACAAUUUUAGGUCUCAUUAGGGUAAAAAAACAAAUGGAAAUUGUUAUGUGUCUAUAAAAUGUUAUGGUUGAUGCAUCGAUUUACUGGUAAUUAAUAUUUACUGUAAUUUUGAAAACAACUGUAGCAUAUCACAUGUGUUCUUCUGUAAAAAUUAUUUCUGAAUAUGAUUCUGUAUUUAAGUUUUCAUAAAUAGUUUAAGGAUAAAAUAACCUGUUUUACUCAAUGCUUGUUUUCUUAGUAGCUGUAAAUAUUGAAUGUUUGUAAAAAGGUGCAUAAACCAUAAGAGUUUUUACUUACUAUCUAUUGAUUCAGUUACAGAACGAAGGCUUAAUUCUGUGAUGUCAGUUAAAUUUUCUGAUUUUGUGAGUUAAGCAGAGAAAUAUAGAUAUCUCCCAAAGAAGGCGGGAAGGUAACAUAUACUGGUGCCUGUGUCAAGCAGACUUAAAAAGCCAAACACCAUAGACAAAAAAAUGGAACUAAUCUUGUUUUAUUUCAAUGGAGUAUUGUAGACUAUCAUAUUGUAUGUUCCUGAGUUUAUUUGUUUGAUACCUGUUUUCCUCGAACAUUCCUUGAAUAUGUUAAAUUUGUAGAUUAUUUGAUUGGUAUAUUAGUUAC